rnacentral:rRNA from 1 species
UAGAGAUAUGCUAGGCCUUCGGGACAGGGGAGACAGGUGGUGCAUGGUUGUCGUCAGCUCGUGUCGUGAGAUGUUGGGUUAAGUCCCGCAACGAGCGCAACCCUUGAUCUUUGUUGCCAGCACGUGAUGGUGGGCACUCUAAGAUGACUGCCGGUGACAAACCGGAGGAAGGUGGGGAUGACGUCAAAUCAUCAUGCCCCUUAUGACCUGGGCUACACACGUACUACAAUGGUCGGUACAGAGGGCAGCGAGGCCGCGAGGCGGAGCGAAUCUCAGAAAGCCGAUCUCAGUUCGGAUUGCAGGCUGCAACUCGCCUGCAUGAAGCCGGAAUUGCUAGUAAUCGCGGAUCAGCAUGCCGCGGUGAAUACGUUCCCGGG